UGUGCCAAAGAAGACUUUUGCUCAGAUGACAUCACAUUUGGACUACUAAUGCUAUCCGCCCACUCUACAAGGCACAAUGCAUUUCUAGGUAAUUUAACAAAUGCGGAGUGAAACCCAUUCUUUCAUUUGCAAAACUCUUCUGGAAAAUUACUUGGGUGCUGUAUAUUGAAUGUCAGUGAAACUAGGUAGUUUGUAUUGGGGGAAAAACUGAAGGAUCCACUGGCAAACACCAGAAUUUUAGAAAAUUCAGAAUUUAAUGCUUUUCUGCAGAAGAGGAUACUUGUAACUCCACAUUGUUCUUCAAAGCAACCAGGUUUCAUCCUUAAACCUCACACUUUAACAAGUCCUAAAGCGUAAAAGGCAAACGUACAAAUGUCUACCACAAGACUAAAGUGUGAUAUGUUAUGUUUUUUACCAUAAGCACCCAUAAAAUGAGCUCCAUUGCAG